AAACGAAAUUCAGUAACUAUUACUAUUUAAUAGUGUAUAGCUGUGUUUAAAACAAAAAUGUUGACUUAUUGUUUAUUUUUAAAACUAAUGGAGGUGAUUAUCUAUUAGGACAAACUUUAAGGGCCUGAGUGUUAUUUCAAUUUAUUGAUUAUUACUUUGCUUCCAGGAUAAUUUUUUUUUUUCCAGGAUAAUAUCUAAGAGACGGGAUAGUGUUUUUACUGUGUGAUCUGACGGAUGGGUGUUUUGAUGGAGGUGAAAUGGGCCGUUGGAUCCAUGAGUGGGGACUACAAGGCGUGUUUGGCGUGAUAACGAAAAGACGUUUUUGCAGUGGUUUAUGAUUUUUGACUAAAACGAGCGAAAAGUACUUUUGCGAGAACAUAAACAAAAAGUAAAAUUUUUUUUUUCAAUAAUAUUUGUUAGCAAGCAUUUUUCAGGUAAGAUAUUAGUAUUGAGGUGCUUUUGAUGUGUUUUUCACUUUAGUAAAUUUAAAACAACAUAUAAAAGUUGUGUUGGAUUCUUUUAUUAAAGUUGAAAUAAAUGAUUUUAGAAUUAUAUUUAGUUGUUAGAGUUGGCUUGUUUUAGUAUAUUUUAUAAAUGAAUUCCACAUUAGAUAUCUUUUUUAUUUCAUUUAUAAAUUCAUGCUAAUAAUCAAUGAGAUCUAAUUAGUAAAUUCGUUAUCAUAUAUCCUCUCAUUUAAUUAUAAAGAUGGAGAUAAUAACAAUAGGUAUGAAAGGAUGUUUUCGCGAAGCUCUUUAUGACUAUCAUAA
rnacentral:lncRNA from 1 species